rnacentral:other from 2 species
GCGCUCCUGGGAUGUUAGCCAGUGGUCGAGUCCUUGAGCCGUUAAAUAUACGUCAGGAGUUUCUCCGCAGAGUCGGUGUGCAUACCCAACCUUAUGGGCCGCCUUAGAUUCUGCUUGAUUCUCCGCCUUGAGCUUCGACGGUUCAGGGCAAACCAACAGCGGCAUUUCCGGGAGCACU